rnacentral:tRNA from 1 species
GCCUGGCUUGCUCUGUAGGUAGAGCAUGUGACCCUUGAUCUCAGGGUCGUGAGUUCAAGCCCCAUGUUGGGUA